rnacentral:rRNA from 1 species
UGGGGAAUUUUGGACAAUGGGGGCAACCCUGAUCCAGCCAUGCCGCGUGAGUGAAGAAGGCCUUCGGGUUGUAAAGCUCUUUCGGACGGGACGAAAUGGUUACGGUGAAUAACUGUGACUGAUGACGGUACCGUAAUAAGAAGCACCGGCUAACUACGUGCCAGCAGCCGCGGUAAUACGUAGGGUGCAGGCGUUAAUCGGAAUUACUGGGCGUAAAGCGUGCGCAGGCGGCUCCUUAAGUCAGAUGUGAAAUCCCCGGGCUUAACCUGGGAACUGCGUUUGAAACUGAGGGGCUAGAGUGUGGAAGAGGGGGGUGGAAUUCCAGGUGUAGCAGUGAAAUGCGUAGAGAUCUGGAGGAACACCGAUGGCGAAGGCAGCCCCCUGGGCUAACACUGACGCUCAUGCACGAAAGCGUGGGGAGCAAACAGGAUUAGAUACCCUUGUAGUCCCUGAGCGGGCUGGCAAGGCGCAU